rnacentral:rRNA from 1 species
UACGAAGGACCCAAGCGUUAUCCGGAUUUAUUGGGUUUAAAGGGUGCGUAGGCGGGUUAUUAAGUCAGUGGUGAAAGCUCCGAGCCCAACUCGGAAACUGCCAUUGAUACUGAUGAUCUUGAGUACAUUUGAGGUGGGCGGAAUGUGUCAUGUAGCGGUGAAAUGCUUAGAGAUGACUCAGAACACCGAUUGCGAAGGCAGCUCACUAAACUGUAACUGACGCUGAGGCACGAAAGCGUGGGGAGCAAACAGG